AACUUUCCAGAGAUGGAUUGGUGCCCUUCGGGAACUCUGAGACAGGUGCUGCAUGGCUGUCGUCAGCUCGUGUUGUGAAAUGUUGGGUUAAGUCCCGCAACGAGCGCAACCCUUUAUCCUUUGUUGCCAGCGGUUAGGCCGGGAACUCAAAGGAGACUGCCAGUGAUAAACUGGAGGAAGGUGGGGAUGACGUCAAGUCAUCAUGGCCCUUACGAGUAGGGCUACACACGUGCUACAAUGGCGCAUACAAAGAGAAGCGACCUCGCGAGAGCAAGCGGACCUCAUAAAGUGCGUCGUAGUCCGGAUUGGAGUCUGCAACUCGACUCCAUGAAGUCGGAAUCGCUAGUAAUCGUGGAUCAGAAUGCCACGGUGAAUACGUUCCCGGGCCUUGUACACACCGCCCGUCACACCAUGGGAGUGGGUUGCAAAAGAAGUAGGUAGCUUAACCUUCGGGAGGGCGCUUACCACUUUGUGAUUCAUGACUGGGGUGAAGUCGUAACAAGGUAGGCGUAGUGCU
rnacentral:rRNA from 1 species